UUAUCAUUCCAGGGAUUUGCAGAAUGAAAAAUGAAAAGGUGACGAGAACGAAUAGUGACCAAUCUCAAAACUCCUAUUAGGGAUACAAAUUCAGAGUAGGGCAAACACGGACCCCUGGUCAUAUUAGAGGUGAGAACAUGUGCGAAGGAGGACUAAUCAUCCUCUGUUGACCAGUCGCACCAGCCAUCAUUUUGAUCGGGUAAACGAAUUAAUCCAUAAUAAAGUUCGGGUGUAAACAAUCACCAUUAAUGGUAUAAAACAUACCUGAAAGGAUUUCACAUAAUGGCAGUGGGUAAUGGUAAAUCACAUUACGGAUGUAUAUUUAAUUGCUGUGAUAAAAUUUAGAAAUUCAUUUCAAAAUUAAGGAUUGUCUCCCUCAUGCAUAACUCUUAUCCUUAGACGAAUUUGACUCCACUUUUUUGGCACUCUGUUUUCCCCUAAAUUAGCUCUAGCAAGUUUAUUGUUAUUUCGGAAUUCAAAUAUUUCAUUGAGCAUCACUGAAGAUACAUUAUUUGUCGAAAUGCGCAUCUGGUGCAUCAAAAUUGGUACCGUAUAAGAUUUACAUUGUUAUAACGACCACGAGUUUUGAAAAAUACAAACGUUAAACUAAAAUAUUUAGAGCACUGCACCAUCAACUUGUGUGUCAGUAGCCUGAGUCGUUUUGUAAAAACAUGAUCAAACGCAAGCUCUUGCGUAUCAAAUCAGUUGAGAGACAUAAACAGCAUGUGCAGGUGAUAAUGGAAUAUUGGUACAUCAGUGUGGGAAGUUAUCGAUGAGGAAGCUGAAAUCAUACCGUUUGUCAUGAAGUUGAAUUGUUCUUUUGCCGUUGAUAUCCAUUUUCAAUAAAAUGUCCAAGUAUGAAGCAGACGUGGAGGAAUAUGUUGUGUUUUUUGGCUCGAGUUCACCGGGAUGAAAAGUAACGAUAACAGACAGUUAUCAAACCCAUAACUCCCAUAAGGAUUACAAAAUACAAAGUUGGUCAACCACGGACCCCAGGACAUUACAAAGUUGGGAUCAGGUGCCUAGGAUAUAUAUGUGCAGUUUUGUGUCGCAAUUGAAUCAUCAAUAUAUUUUGAUAGCGGACAAAACGUUUGAGUGUUCACUACAUUUUAAUGACUAAGUCUUGAAUUCCAUGUUCAUUUCAUUUCAUUUUGAUCCAUUAUAUUCAGUGUUCACUAAAUUCUUAUAAAUAUUAUUUUCAGUGCUCACUACAUUUUGAUUACUAUUAUAUCUACCGUUCACUACUUUUUGAUUACUGACAAUUAUAUUCAAUUUUCACUAAUAAUGAGGACUGUCAGAAUUCGAGCCCCACUCUUGUUAUGACCGUGUUCAACCUAUGACGUAAAUAUAGGGACUGACUGCUCCUUCGUCAAACGAAGGCAAUCGCAGGCCUUUUGGAUAUCACCUCCAACACGGAUCUCGUGUCAAAGCAGGCUUUGGUAUGUUAAAGAACCAUCACUGCUACAAUUCUGAGCCCUUAGCAUAGGUCUAAAUUUGUGGUACUUCACCUACAGGUGGUAACAUCUCAUUGUGAGUGAAAAAUUCUCAAAGCAACGGAAACGACAAAAAAAAACCAACCUACAUCAUUAAUUUUUAUUACUAUUGUGUGUGUUCAGAUUAAACUAUUGACGUCAAACCAUAUUCUAAAUCUGACUAUAUAGAUAUUCGCUCAUAAAAGAAGUCAAAUCAGACUCUAAAUCUAAUUCUAUAGAUUUGUGUUCAGAUGACAGCAAUGAAGUCAUAUCAAACUUUUAAACAUGACUAUAUAAAAGAUAAUACCACUAGAAUUAAGUCAGACUCUAAAUGUGGUUAAACCCUCAAUGUUAACAUAUUCCCUUCUAUGUAUGUAUUUGAAAGCUACUGUUGAUAUUAACUUUGUUCUCUAUAUAUUUCCUACACUUCCUACACUUACUGUACGAGUUAAAACUCUCUGUAGAUUUGAUAAAUCAAUAACAUAAUAGGAAUACAAUGAUUUCAAUUCAAUCUUCGCCUUUUACAAAGUCUUUCCUGGGGAAAUAUGACAUUGGAAACAAAUUUAAGAGUCUCUUCUGACGGAAUAUUUCAAUAUUUUGCAUCUAAGAAAUCCUAAAUGUAAAACAUAUACGGUACCAAUUUUGAUGCACCAGAUGCGCAUUUCAAGUAAUAACGAAAAAAGUGGAAUCAAAUUUGUCUAAGGAUAAGAGCUAUACGUGAGGGAGAUAAUCCUUAAUUUUGAAAUAAAUUUCUAUAUUUUAUAACAACAAUUAAAUAUACAUCCGUAUUUUGAAGCUAAUAACGAAAUAUUUAAUUGUUCCUCUUCUUCUUUUCUUUCAUGUGGAUGGAAACAAACUUCUCAUGCAAGGACACCAAGUGUACAUGUGUUUUAAUGAUAUUAUGAUCACUUUUACUACCAUUCACAAACAUAUAGACACUUGAAUUUUGAAGAAUGAGGGAAAUUUAUAAACGUGGGAAACGUACUUAAGAUGAUAAAAAUGUUGAUCAAAUACAAUCGACGUAUGGUACUGAUAUGAAAUCACGUAUUUCUCAUAUCGCAAAAAAAAUAGUUUUCCAAACUCCGCUUCCAAUUGUUAAAUGGCUGGAUGGGAUGUCAUACACGUGUCGUGUUUUAUUUCUAUAUUAUCAAGAUGUAUCAUGGUUCAAACGGUUACCACUUCGUUAGAUGUUAGCAUUCAUACGAAGUGCAAGGUAUGGAAUACGACACUAAAGAAAUGCACAGGUAAGUAUAACAUCUUGUGAAAGUCAAACCAAGGCUGGAGGCCUGGAUUUUGUAUCAUCGUUAUAAUUAAGACAAUGUCAUAUAUCACUGGCAAUUAGUUUAACUCUAAAAUUGUAGACUGAUUUUAGGCCAUGAAUGAAAGUCAUAUUCAAAAUUAACCUUUUUUAUGUUUAGAAUGCGAUGUAGGGUUCCAAGGUGACAGCUGUCAGAUGGUCUGUCGUUAUCCUAACUACGUAAACCAAUGUCAAAUGUGGUGUAACUGCGAACAACGGAACUGCAGUUUUGUUACUGGAUGUGAUUGUAUGCUAUGACCAUUAUAUAUAAUCCAGAACUAAAUACAGGAGGGUUCAAACUGCUUCUCUUUCCAUAUAUCAAUCUAAUUACUUAAACUAUGACUUUCGAUAUAUUUCAGAUGGGUCACCAACGAUUUCACCAAGCAUUAUGGAAAUUUCAUUUCCCGUAUAUUUAUUGACUAAAACUCUUAAAGCAUGUCGCUCUGGAUACACCGGGUCUGACUGUGAAUCUGCUUGUCGGUAUCCAAGUUACGGGGUCGGCUGUCAGUUACAAUGUAAAUGCGACAAGAAUAUUUGUCAUUACGUAAAAGGGUGUGAAAGAAUCAUCAGCGAUGGAGAUUAUUACUUUCUUGAAAUAUACAAAAGUUAAUGAAAAGGUGAAAAUGAGAAAUACCAAAUUAUGAGUUGGAUAAAAACGGAUCAGUGGACAUACCGGAUGUGGGAUCAGGUGCCUAGAAGAAGUAAGCAUCCUCUGACAACCAGACACCCGCCUUCAGCCCAAUAGGAAAGAUGGAGGUUACGAACAGUGUUCAAUCUUAUAACUCCUAUAAGCAAUACAAAAUAGAAACUUUGGCAAACACGGACCCUUGGGUAUACUAGAGAUGAGAUCAGGUAUCUAGGAGGGGUAAGCGCCCCCUGUCGACCGGUCACACCAGCGUGAGCCCUAUAACUUGAUCAGGUGAACGGAGUAAUCCGUAGUCAAAAUCAGUGUACCAAGAACCAGAUAUCAUCGGUGGGGACAAUUACAUGUCCAAGACAUAAUAUCUGCUUCCAUUAUUUCUACAUUCACCAUAAUACAAACAAAACUACAAAAUAGAAUACAUUGAAACUAUGUGACAUGUUAAAAGUUGAAAUAUUUGUAUUGUACCAUUUUGUAUUUGAUGUUUUACUUAAUUUUCUUUUGUUUCUUUUUCUACACCCAUUUCUCAAUAUUUUCCUAUUGAUAUCUAAUUGACACGUAACUUACAUUAUAAUUUUCCGUUUCUAUUAUAUAAUUUCUCAUUUGCAUUCUAUAAUUGUCCAUUUCCAUACAAAAAUGUUUCAUUUGUAUUUUGUCCCAGGGAUUGUUUUGUAUAUUUUAAU